rnacentral:misc_RNA from 1 species
GGAUAAGCCAGCCAACAAUGGCUUGUCCGAUGCCUUUGACCUUAGCGGGCUAAGUUCAUCAGUGCCAGAUAACAACAGAGAAAAGAAAUCAAAGUCGCCUGCAGCCUUCUUGGGAGAAAAACUCAAAACCUGGUAAAUCUAGACAACCUGGUUGGCACCAAGCAAGGUACUCCUGGAUUAGGUGUCUCCCCUCUGAACUCCACUUCCAUCACCUCCAACUCUCCCCUCACCAUCAACAACAACAACAACAACCUCAACAACAACAACAGCAUCACCAAUCCAUUCGUUACACCGGGCCUCGCGCCUUCAUCUUUUGCAGGUGUGAACCCCUUCAGCGCUCCAAGUCCCCCAACCCCUUCCAAGCUCAGCAAGCCCCCAAACCUUCCAUGAACCAGCUGCGCACCACCGGAAUCGGCGGCCCAGGGCUGGCUGCUGCACCUCCCUCCAAUGCUGGUGCUCCCGGGUCAGCCCCUGGGCCGUGGGGCUCACCACAACCGUCCGUUGGCUUUGGAAUGGCCCCCUCUGCUACUGCGUCCCAAGACGAGAACCCCUUUCUUUUAUAAUGCCACAUGUACCCCUCCCUUCUCCACUCCACUCCCAUGCCCUGCCCACCCCUCCCCUCCCUUCUCACCCCUGGUAGUCAUCCUCUUCAAUAGUCGUGUUCAAGAGACUAUCACCGCCACCAUGCAUUGUCAUCAUUACUGUUAAUUUUUAUUAUCAUUAUUGUUUUUUAUUGAAAACUUUUUUUUCUCUCAAAAUUUUUAUUUCUAUGUUGUAAAUAAGUAGGUGUAUUCUUUUCUUUCACACUUGUUUGUACAGGGUGUCUCCUCUUUUUUUUUUCCUUCUUAUUUUCUGCCCUUGUCUUCAUUUUUUGGUGGUUAUGAUUUUUAGCUGUGCAGUUUCAGUGGAACCUCAGAAACACCAGUGAUAUGCUGAUAAUUUUUCCCCCUUUGUGGUAGUUUUCUGAACUUCAUAUUCAAACUCUUGUGCAAAUGUAUCUCCAAAGAGUUUGUAUUAGGUAAGAAGUGUAUGCAAUAUUUGUCACUACUAUUUAUUAUAAUUAGGUGUACUUUUAUAGCUGGUCCAAGUAUAGAUUGUAAGGGAAAUAACUUAUUUAUAUUGUAAACUUUCCCAAUAUACGAUUGUUUUAACAUCUUCAAGAUACUCUUUUUUUUUUUUUUUUUUUUUUUUUUUUUUUUUUUUUCAUCAUUCUACAUGGUAUUAACUGCUUCAACUAACCAGAAAUUACUGUUAAGACUGAAAUUUCUGAGUGCCACUCAUUUUACAAAUUUAGGUAAAUAUUAGUUGUGCAUAAUUUCGGUAGCCUGGUACAUGUAUAUGCACAUGUACAGGUCCGUAUUUAGUGCAUUAAUCUUUCAAAACAGGGAAAACUAGAAUUUUUGAAAUCAUAGUAUGAUAUUUUCUUAGAGAAAAGGGGAAGGAGGUAAUGUUUUUAAAGUGGAAGAACUGGUACUAAUUGGAUAUUGCAUUAUGAAAAUUUCAGACUUUUCAGUAGGUUUGGCUUGUACCACUUUCAAGAACUUAUAUUUUAAGAAGUUUGUUGACUCAUUAUCUAGCAUCAUGCAUUGUAGAUUUUAUAAUGAAUUUUAAAAAGUUUGGACUUUGUGAAGGUGUAUAGAAAUAAAUGAUGAAGACUAUUUUGAUGUGCAUGAAAUAAAGCCAGUCAUUUAAUUAGCAAGACUGUUAAGUAAUAUUUUGAUUUCAUAUCUCCCGACAUUAAAAACAAAUUAACUUCAAUCAAAGUCAAUUAGUACAUCAACCUGUUGUAGAGGACAACUUUAUGACAUUUGAAUUGAUGUCUGCAUUUCAUUGUACUUCUUUGAGAUCUGCAGCUACGGUGACCUAUGUAUAAUUCUCAGUCAUUUUAGAGACGUUCAGUGUGAUAGAAAUUCAAAAUGGAGUUUAUUGUAUAUUCUAUGCAGUAUUUACUUUUCCUAAAGACAAAAAUAUUGUGAAAUUUCAAAGGCUUUGUAUUUAGAAAUCUUUAGGAUUUGAGUUAAAAGAGCAGCAAGGUCAGAAUUUAUAGCCUUAGACUUUGUGAAACGAGAGCAUUGCCAGAUUGUAAAUUCGAAGGAGCGGCAUCAGUGGGCAGAAAAGAGAACGGAGCUUUGUGUACAUAGCUGGCAGAUACUACUUUUAUUGUUACUUGACCACUCGCACCUCAAAGGGGUAGGAACUGACCUUAACACUGU